UCCCAUGCAACAUAAAAUACAAAAUGAAAUGGAGGAUGUGACAAGGUUGUUGAGUUAAUUUAAGUAUUUUCCUGAGAAAAUUUGAAGCGUUGUGUCCUGAUGAUGUAAUCGUGGAUGGAUUCAACUAUUUUCUGCUUUACACAAAGUGUAAAUUCUUUGUUUCUGUUC